rnacentral:misc_RNA from 1 species
GAUGAAGAACGUAGCGAAAUGCGAUACUUGGUGUGAAUUGCAGAAUCCCGUGAACCAUCGAGUCUUUGAACGCAAGUUGCGCCCGAAGCCUCGGCUAAGGGCACGUCUGCCUGGGCGUCACGCAUCGCGUCUCCCCCAAACCGCCAAGGCGGAGGGGAAGGAAGAUGGCUUCCCGUGCCUCACCCGGCGCGGUUGGCCUAAAUUUGGAGCCCGCGGCACUUAGCUCUCGCGGCGAUAGGUGGUGAACAAGGCCUUGGCCGUGCAAACAACCCGCUGCGAAGCUCUAUGUCACGUGCGCUCGUCGGACCCUUUGAAGUUGCCUUCGGUGACUUAAAACCUUUGCGACCCCAGGUCAGGCGGGGCUACCCGCUGAGUUUAAGCAUAUCAAUAAGCGGAGGA